ensembl:lncRNA novel transcript
GAUGUUGGCGCUGCUGCUGUUCAUGGUGCCCAGCCGACGGCGGCGGCUACUCCCCGGGCACUGGCGGCCGGGUCCCCGGAACCCGGUGUAGGCUGGGACCACUGCGGCGGCCGGCGCCGGGUUCCGCGAAGCCGCGCCCGCUCCACCUGCGUCCUCUCGGGACAGUGGCGUGGGCGCCGCGCCUCAACGCCUCGGCUCACGCAGGCUUCCGCAGCCCGCGCCAGUACAGGUGCACAUCAUGGAGACAAUCUGACUGGUACAGAGAAAUGAAGAGACAACAUUUUCUUUCCAAAUCUGAGUGGAGAUGUUAUAAGGAGACAAGUCGAAUGAAACGAUGUUAUUCAAGGACCUGCUGCAUUUGGUCUGAGUGAGUCUUCUUUGCUUUCUGUUUUGAAUAAAGAGUUGUCUGUCCUCUCCUUCAAAACUAACUCCCCUCACUUUUUCCAAGAACCUAUCCAAUUAUCCUUACAGCAUUUUAUAUGUGUUUCAUAAAUCUCAUCUGCACUCAAGUAGGCACAAGCUGACAUAGCUUUAAAAUAUAUUUGCAGAUUAUAGCCACCUAGCAAAAGGAUGGCUACAGGACACAAUUUCUAUUUCUCUCUAUUUCUAUUUCUCUCUUCUCUAUGAAAAGAGGUAUCGGAACACCAAGUUGAGAUGACUGAAGUCUACUGACUUCUUCUAACCAGCAAUGUGUGCAUAUCCUAGAAUCACUACGGGAAUCCCCCUCAGAAGGGGAGGAACAGAUGUGCGAGAUCACCCAGGGCAACCUCCUUUAGAAAUGUCGGCAAGUAAUCCCCUUAUCCAGGGAAAGCAUGGCAUUCUAUACCCAUUGUUCUGCACCUUCCCUUUUUUCAGUACCAGUAUGUCUUGGAGGUCUUUCUAGGUCAAUAGUCAGCUUGCUCAUUCUAUUUCUUUUUCUUUGCAGAUGCAAACAAUUCCUUUGGAUGGCUGAAUCAUAAUUUAUUUAACCAUAUACUUUGUGUUCUGAAGCAAAACAGAAAAUUGUUUUAUCUUUGGGGGAAGAGGGAAACAAGUGGAAUCAGGGAUGAACCAGCCAAGUACCAUCCCAGUAGGGAGCCCUCCCUGGAAGUCACACAGUGCAGGAUGCAGCUUCCACCCCCGACCCUGUGGGUCAGAGACAGCAGUGGCACUUGAUUGUUCAUACUGCUCAGGGUAGACCGACACCCUGCAUGGAUUGUGUUAGCCCAUGGGAGUCCUGUAUAAUUGAAGAGGAGGGUGUUGACUUGGAAGGAAGAACCGAAGUACCUACUAAAAAGGCAGGUGAAUGCUUGAAUAACUUAUUAGAAAGGCGAAGAAUGCGGCCCUAUUAGGUCUAAAGUGGUAGAGUGCUUUCUACAGAAAAUAAAAGCACAGUAUGACUCUCUCUACAGCCAAAUUUCAUAAAUAAUAUGUCUCAACCUGCUCCUUCUAUUUUCUUGUCACUAUCUUUUUAAACCUGCUUCCUGUUAUCUACUAUAAGAUUACUCAAAAAAUAAUGAAUGAAUGCAUGACUGCUACCUAAUGGGCUUUCCUUUGUGUCUAUUUGACCUAGUAUCUAUCUCUACAGCACUUGACAUGUGCCUCUGCUAAAACAGCAGUGCAGGCUUCAUCAUCCAUCCUCCUUGAAAUUAUUAUUUCGUAGUUUCAUGAAUUCCUUUCUAGCCUAUUCUCCUACUCCUCUGUCUCUUUUUCUUUCUAUCUUCUGCCUCUUUCCUAUCUUUGCCUGCUCCUCC